AUUGAACGCUGGCGGCAGGCUUAACACAUGCAAGUCGAACGGUAGCAGGAGAAAGCUUGCUUUCUUGCUGACGAGUGGCGGACGGGUGAGUAAUGCUUGGGAAUCUGGCUUAUGGAGGGGGAUAACUACGGGAAACUGUAGCUAAUACCGCGUAAUAUCGAAAGAUUAAAGUGUGGGACCUUCGGGCCACAUGCCAUAAGAUGAGCCCAAGUGGGAUUAGGUAGUUGGUGGGGUAAAGGCCUACCAAGCCGACGAUCUCUAGCUGGUCUGAGAGGAUGACCACCCCCACUGGAACUGAUAUACUGUUCCGACUCUUACGGGAGUCCGCAGCCGGGCAUAUUUUUCCUUAAACUACUCUCUCCCCUCGCCCUGUUCAUUUUCCGUUGAUUGUGCCCCUCUUUUUUCUUUCCUUUUU
rnacentral:rRNA from 1 species